rnacentral:rRNA from 1 species
UCAGGACGAACGCUGGCGGCGUGCCUAAUACAUGCAAGUCGAACGCUUCUUUUUCCACCGGAGCUUGCUCCACCGGAAAAAGAGGAGUGGCGAACGGGUGAGUAACACGUGGGUAACCUGCCCAUCAGAAGGGGAUAACACUUGGAAACAGGUGCUAAUACCGUAUAACAAUCRAAACCGCAUGGUUUUGAUUUGAAAGGCGCUUUCGGGUGUCGCUGAUGGAUGGACCCGCGGUGCAUUAGCUAGUUGGUGAGGUAACGGCUCACCAAGGCCACGAUGCAUAGCCGACCUGAGAGGGUGAUCGGCCACAUUGGGACUGAGACACGGCCCAAACUCCUACGGGAGGCAGCAGUAGGGAAUCUUCGGCAAUGGACGAAAGUCUGACCGAGCAACGCCGCGUGAGUGAAGAAGGUUUUCGGAUCGUAAAACUCUGUUGUUAGAGAAGAACAAGGAUGAGAGUAACUGUUCAUCCCUUGACGGUAUCUAACCAGAAAGCCACGGCUAACUACGUGCCAGCAGCCGCGGUAAUACGUAGGUGGCAAGCGUUGUCCGGAUUUAUUGGGCGUAAAGCGAGCGCAGGCGGUUUCUUAAGUCUGAUGUGAAAGCCCCCGGCUCAACCGGGGAGGGUCAUUGGAAACUGGGAGACUUGAGUGCAGAAGAGGAGAGUGGAAUUCCAUGUGUAGCGGUGAAAUGCGUAGAUAUAUGGAGGAACACCAGUGGCGAAGGCGGCUCUCUGGUCUGUAACUGACGCUGAGGCUCGAAAGCGUGGGGAGCAAACAGGAUUAG